GUCAUUGGUGUGAAGGCGGCAGCCAUUACUCUGACGUCUUUAGAGGGCACACAGACACCGGUGGACCCAGCUGACCUUGUGUCCUAUUUUCCUGUGCUUCUGGAGUCUGGUGACGUCUGUAAUGACGUUGUACAGCAGGUGAAGUACACUUUCAGAUACAGUGAAGCUAGGGAAAUCCUGAAUGUGACUGCAUCAGUUUUGAAAUAAAAAAUGAAGCCAUUAAAAGCGUCAUGGUGCCCAUUCAGCAAGAGUUUCAGAUUACAUUCCUGCAGGAGAUCUCUAGCACACCAGUGUUGUUAUUUAGUGGCAAUCCUGGCUAUGUGGUGGGACGGCCCCUAGUGGCUGGGACAAGAACAGCAGAAUAUCCUUUAUUAUAAAUUAGAUGUCUCCUUUGUUAUGAAACAUAACCAAUUGCAUCAUACAUUAGCACUGAACAUCAGUUAUUUAUUCCCUGAUAUGUACAACACAGUUUUUCCUCAUCUGUUUAGACAUUUCUCUAAACUAAGUUCAGGAUAACUAAAACAAUUAACACAAACACCAAAGCAAUUGCUGGUGUUUUCAAUAUCAUGAUAGGAUUUAAUAAAUAAAUGGAAAGCCUGUCAUGUAUCCAAAUGUCUACCUUUGUGGCAAAGUCCUUGACCUCUGUUUUACUGGGAUAGUUCAGUCCGCUGACCUAAAAGGAUCACUUAUCACUUAUCCAUUACUAUCCUCCAAAACUCUGGGGAUCAGGAUCACUUGCUUGGCUCAUCUCGGAGCUCCCCUGUCCUGUUUGGGAUUGGCAUGGUAUCAGGCUGCACUCUCAAGUCCUCCUUACCAGUGCAGAUGGUCUUUUGUCUGUCACAAGCUAGCUCAGUGAGUUUUGUUGAUGUGUCUGCAUCUGCCAGUCCAGGAUUCAAAGUUCCUCCUACAAUUGAUGCUCUGACUUUUUCUUUCCAUUUAUAUAUUAUAUUUAUAUAUUUCAGUAUCUUUUUCGGCAGCAACAUGAAAGGAGUACCACUGUUUCAGGAACCAUGUUUCUUUGAAAGUUGUGUCUCACUUAAAGUUGUAUAUAGUGUAUACUUAUUGUCUUUUAUAUCUAUCUAUCUAUCUAUCUAUCUAUCUAUAUAUAUAUAUAAAUGCUCUGAUUAA
rnacentral:lncRNA from 12 species